GGCUCCUUCGGGGGCCGAGUAGAGUGGCGUCCGGGUGAGUAACACGUAGGUAAUCUACCUCUGGGUGGGGAAUAACAGCCGGAAACGGCUGCUAAUACCGCAUAAUGCAGCGGCACCACAUGGUGACAGUUGUUAAAGCGGGGGAUCGCAAGACCUCGCGCCUAGAGAGGAGCCUGCGGCGGAUUAGCUAGUUGGCAGGGUAAUGGCCUACCAAGGCGACGAUCCGUAGCCGGCCUGAGAGGGCGGUCGGCCACACUGGCACUGACACACGGGCCAGACUCCUACGGGAGGCAGCAGUCGGGAAUUUUGGGCAAUGGGCGAAAGCCUGACCCAGCAACGCCGCGUGAAGGAUGAAGCUUUUCGGAGUGUAAACUUCAUAAGAAUGGGACGAAUAAGAGAGGGCUAAUACCCCUUUUGAUGACGGUACCAUUUGUAAGCUCCGGCUAACUCCGUGCCAGCAGCCGCGGUAAUACGGGGGGAGCAAGCGUUGUUCGGAUUUACUGGGCGUAAAGGGCGCGUAGGCGGCGCAACAAGUCACUUGUGAAAUCUCCGGGCUUAACCCGGAGCGGCCAAGUGAUACUGUCGUGCUAGAGUGCGGAAGGGGCUACUGGAAUUCUCGGUGUAGCGGUGAAAUGCGUAGAUAUCGAGAGGAACACCUGCGGCGAAGGCGGGUAGCUGGGCCGACACUGACGCUGAGGCGCGAAAGCCAGGGGAGCGAACGGGAUUAGAUACCCCGGUAGUCCUGGCCUUAAACGAUGGAUGCUUGGUGUCCGGGGUUACAUAG
rnacentral:rRNA from 1 species